GACGAACGCUGGCGGCGUACUUAACACAUGCAAGUCGAACGGUGAAGCGCCUUCCUUUUUGGUGGGUGUGGAUGAGUGGCGAACGGGUGAGUAACACGUGAGUAACCUGCCCCCUUCUUCUGGAUAACCGCAUGAAAGUGUGGCUAAUACGGGAUAUUCUGGGUCUGUCGCAUGAUGGGUCUGGGAAAGAUAUUGUUUCGGUGGGGGAUGGGCUCGCGGCCUAUCAGCUUGUUGGUGGGGUGAUGGCCUACCAAGGCGGUGACGGGUAGCCGGCCUGAGAGGGUGGACGGUCACACUGGGACUGAGACACGGCCCAGACUCCUACGGGAGGCAGCAGUGGGGAAUAUUGCACAAUGGGCGCAAGCCUGAUGCAGCGACGCCGCGUGAGGGAUGGAGGCCUGCGGGUUGUGAACCUCUUUCGCCAGUGAAGCAGGCCUGCCUCGUUUGUGGGUGGGUUGACGGUAGCUGGAGAAGAAGCGCCGGCUAACUACGUG
rnacentral:rRNA from 1 species